rnacentral:rRNA from 1 species
CCCAACGCAAAGCUCCCAUCUUUCCCCCGCACGCCACGCAAAACCCAGACCCUCCGCCUCCUCCGAAUCCCCUCCUCCGCCGGCCGCCCUCCCGUACGACCAGCCGGCCCGGCGACGGACAGCAUGGCGGCGGACUGAAGCGCGCUCGCGGCUCCGUCGGCCCGCGCUCUCCGGCUGCAUUGGGCCAGAUCCGCCCGGAUCUGGGCGUCUCCAGCUCCAGAGUACACAGCAGUAGAUCACACAUCAUCACCAAAAGCAAUGGCGUCGUAUAAGCUGGGCGUGGAGGUCGCAAGCGCUCAUGACCUCAUGCCCAAGGACGGGCAAGGUUCUGCCAGCGCCUGUGUUGAGCUUACCUUUGAUGGUCAGCGGUUCCGCACGGCCAUCAAGGAGAAGGACCUGAACCCCGUCUGGAACGAGCGCUUCUACUUCAACGUCUCUGAUCCAACAAAUCUUCCCGAGCUCGCUCUUGAAGCAUAUGUCUACAACAUCCACAAGUCCAUCGAAGGCUCCAGGUCAUUCCUUGGCAAGGUCAGAAUCGCUGGCACCUCAUUCGUGCCCUUCACCGAUGCUGUCAUCAUGCACUAUCCACUGGAGAAGCGUGGGAUGUUCUCCCGUGUCAAGGGGGAAUUGGGCCUCAAAGUGUACAUCACAAAUGACCCCUCCAUCAGGGCUUCCAACCCUCUUCCUGCAAUGGACCCUGUUUCGAACAAUACUCCUCCAACUCAAGCUGAGCAGAUUGCUGCUGAUAUAACCGGUACUAAUCUGAAUGCUUCUCAGCGCCAUCAAGAGCACAGGCAUGAUGAAGUGAGAACCUUGCAUACCAUAGCUAAGGAUGUACAGCAUCAUCAGCACCAUGGCCACCUUCCAGCCUCUUUUGCCGAGCAACCCUCCAACUCCAAGUAUGGUGUUGAGCAAAUGAAACCUCAACCUCAACAGCCCAAGAUGGUCAGGAUGUAUUCAGCUGCCUCCCAGCAGCCCAUGGACUAUGCACUUAAAGAAACCAGCCCCUUUCUCGGUGGUGGACAGAUUGUUGGUGGUCGGGUUAUUGGUGGUGAGAAGCAUGCUAGUACUUAUGACUUAGUGGAGAGAAUGCAGUAUCUGUUUGUGCGUGUGGUCAAGGCACGGGACUUGCCUAACAUGGACAUCACUGGGAGCCUGGAUCCUUUCGUGGAAGUGAGAGUUGGCAACUACAGGGGCAUAACUAAGCACUUUGAGAAGCAGAGGAACCCUGAGUGGAAUGCUGUCUUUGCUUUCUCUAGAGAACGUAUGCAGGCCUCUGUCAUUGAAGUGUUGGUCAAAGACAAAGAUCUUGUCAGGGAUGAUUUUGUUGGCAUGGUGCGAUUCGAUCUGAAUGAUGUGCCAGUACGUGUGCCCCCUGACAGUCCACUGGCUCCAGAAUGGUACCGGCUUGUUCAUAAGGAUGGGGACAAGUCAAGGGGUGAGCUGAUGCUGGCGGUUUGGAUUGGCACCCAAGCUGACGAGGCAUUUCCUGAUGCAUGGCAUUCAGAUGCUGCUACACUUGAGGAUCCAUCUGCUGUAACACACAUGAAGUCGAAAGUUUACCAUGCACCCAGACUGUGGUACCUGCGAGUUAAUAUAAUUGAGGCCCAAGAUAUUCUCAUACAUGAUAAGACCCGCUAUCCAGAUGUUUUUGUCAGAGCACAGGUGGGGCAUCAGCAUGGGAGGACAAAACCUGUUCAGGCUAGAAACUUCAACCCAUUUUGGAAUGAAGACCUGAUGUUUGUGGCUGCUGAACCUUUCGAGGAUCACCUUAUUCUGUCACUUGAAGAUCGUGUAGCUCCUAACAAGGAUGAGACGCUUGGCCGGAUAAUUAUACCAUUGACGAUGAUUGAUAGGCGGGCUGAUGACCGCAUUGUCCAUGGGAAGUGGUUUAAUCUUGAGAAGCCUGUACUUGUUGAUGUAGAUCAACUAAAGAGAGAGAAGUUCUCUAGUCGGCUCCAUCUCCGUCUCUGCCUUGAUGGAGGAUAUCAUGUUCUGGAUGAGUCUACAAACUACAGCAGUGACCUCAGACCAACAGCCAAGCAACUCUGGAAGCCGUCGAUUGGUCUGCUUGAGCUUGGAGUCCUUGGUGCACAGGGGAUUGUUCCUAUGAAGACACGUGAUGGAAAAGGUUCAUCAGACACCUAUUGUGUUGCAAAGUAUGGGUCAAAGUGGGUGCGAACACGUACUAUCAUGAACAAUCCAAACCCCAAGUUCAAUGAACAGUACACUUGGGAGGUCUAUGAUCCGGCAACUGUCCUGACUAUUGGUGCUUUUGACAAUGGCCAGCUUGGAGAGAGGAAUGGGGACAAGCCAUCCAGUGGUAAAGAUGCGAAAAUCGGCAAGGUCCGAAUUCGCCUUUCAACACUUGAAACUGGCCGAGUAUACACCCACUCAUAUCCGCUCCUGGUUCUGCACCCAUCAGGGGUGAAGAAGAUGGGUGAACUGCACCUAGCCAUACGAUUUUCCUCAACGUCAUUGGUCAACAUGCUAUACCUGUACUCCCGACCUUUGCUGCCGAAGAUGCACUAUGCACGCCCAAUACCAGUGCUUCAGGUUGACAUGCUCCGCCACCAAGCUGUCCAGAUUGUGGCUGCCCGUCUCAGCCGAAUGGAGCCACCUCUGAGGAAGGAAGUUGUUGAGUACAUGUCAGAUUUUGACUCUCACUUGUGGAGCAUGAGGAGAAGCAAAGCAAACUUCUUCAGGCUGAUGAAUGUCUUCUCAGGCCUGUUUGCCAUCAGCAAGUGGUUCAGUGGUGUCUGCGCAUGGAAGAACCCCAUUACCACCGUGCUGGUUCACAUCCUCUUUAUAAUGCUGGUGUGCUUUCCAGAGCUCAUACUCCCAACAGUGUUCUUGUACAUGUUCCUGAUAGGGAUCUGGAACUACCGUUACCGGCCUCGCUACCCUCCACACAUGAACACCAAGAUCUCUCAUGCAGAAGCUGUUCACCCAGAUGAACUCGACGAAGAGUUUGACACAUUCCCCACAAGCCGGAGCCAAGAGGUUGUAAGGAUGAGGUAUGAUAGGCUGAGGAGUGUUGCUGGAAGGAUACAGACUGUUGUUGGCGAUAUCGCAACCCAAGGGGAGAGAGUUCAGGCACUGCUCAGUUGGAGGGAUCCUCGGGCCACAGCAAUAUUUGUGCUAUUCUGUUUCAUAGCCGCGAUAGUGCUGUACGUCACACCGCUCCAGGUUCUCGCAGCAUUAGGAGGGUUCUAUGCCAUGAGGCACCCGAGGUUCAGGCACAGGUUGCCAUCAACGCCAGUAAACUUCUUCAGGCGACUGCCAGCGAGGACAGACAGUAUGCUGUGAAGAUGCUACCAUCUGGUGGCCUUAUCGUUGUAAUCCCUAGAAUUACACCAUGUCUGUCGCUGUAGCUCGACUCGCCGUGUUAUUAUUUGUGACUGUUUGUCGUUCAGGACUUCGAGUCUGCCUAUCGUAUUAGGUGCUGGAUCCAGGGAAUAAUGUGCCGACAGCUUAUCA